GUGCCAGCAGCCGCGGUAAUACAGAGGUCCCAAGCGUUGUUCGGAUUCACUGGGCGUAAAGGGUGCGUAGGCGGUCGGGUAAGUCUGACGUGAAAUCCCGUGGCUCAACCAUGGAAGGGCGUCGGAAACUAUCCGGCUUGAGGGUGCGAGGGGGGACUGGAAUUCUCGGUGUAGCAGUGAAAUGCGUAGAUAUCGAGAGGAACACCAGUGGCGAAGGCGAGUCCCUGGAGCACACCUGACGCUGAGGCACGAAAGCUAGGGGAGCAAACAGGAUUAGAUACCCGCGUAGUCC
rnacentral:rRNA from 1 species